AUGAUAUUUAUCUUGACCUAUGAGGAGAUUUACUGGAAACAGAGAGGUCAGAAAAAUUGGGUGCUCAAGGGGGACGCGAGUGCCCAAUUUUUUCAUGCGGUGGCAAAUGGGCGACACCGGAGAUGUAUGAUCCGUGUUCUCCGUGAUGGGGAUAAUGUUAUCACCGAUGAUGGCGCCCUUCAAUCACAUAUUUAUGCAUUUUACCGGGAACUUCGGGGAUCUUCGGGGGUGGGAUCAGCAUCUCUGCACGACUCAAUCUGGGAUAAUGAGCGAUUGGUCUCUGCAUAUGAUAAUUCCAUCCUCACUAAGCCUUUCACGCUUGAGGAGAUAAUAGCUAACCUAAACCAGAUGAGGGUGAACACGGCGCCCGGGCCUGAUGGCUUCCCGGUCAUCUUCUAUAAGCGGUUUUGGAACAUAGUGGGACCACAAUUCGCCCACCUUGUGAAUGAAUUCACCAGUGGCCGAAUAGACAUUAAACGCCUAAAUUAUGGGGUGUUGGCUUUGAUUCCGAAGAUGCCGGGUGCAGACCAAAUUAGACACUUCCGCCCCCUCACGCUC
rnacentral:rRNA from 1 species